UGGGGAAUUUUGGACAAUGGGCGAAAGCCUGAUCCAGCAAUGCCGCGUGUGUGAAGAAGGCCUUCGGGUUGUAAAGCACUUUUGUCCGGAAAGAAAUCCUUGGCUCUAAUACAGUCGGGGGAUGACGGUACCGGAAGAAUAAGCACCGGCUAACUACGUGCCAGCAGCCGCGGUAAUACGUAGGGUGCAAGCGUUAAUCGGAAUUACUGGGCGUAAAGCGUGCGCAGGCGGUUUGCUAAGACCGAUGUGAAAUCCCCGGGCUCAACCUGGGAACUGCAUUGGUGACUGGCAGGCUAGAGUAUGGCAGAGGGGGGUAGAAUUCCACGUGUAGCAGUGAAAUGCGUAGAGAUGUGGAGGAAUACCGAUGGCGAAGGCAGCCCCCUGGGCCAAUACUGACGCUCAUGCACGAAAGCGUGGGGAGCAAAACAGGAUUAGAUACCCCUGGUAGUCCACGCCCUAAACGAUGUCAACUAGUUGUUGGGGAUUCAUUUCCUUAGUAACGUAGCUAACGCGUGAAGUUGACCGCCUGGGGAGUACGGUCGCAAGAUUAAAACUCAAAGGAAUUGACGGGGUCAUAGCUGUUUCCU
rnacentral:rRNA from 1 species